UUCUUUCAUCUUGAUCAUUCUCCUCAUAUCAGGUUUUUCCUCCGUUUUUUAGGAAAGUUUGAAUCAAUCGCAGUUUAAAACAUAAAUGUAAACGAGUCAUCUCUCACUUCUUGAGACCACGCUCCUCUCACAAAACCCUACAGUCUCACCAUUUCUCUGCUUUUUCUCUAGUCAAACCGAUAUACCCCCUUCCCCAUCAACACCGCCUCCUAGCACUACCUUCACCACCUCUUUUAACCAUAUCUGAUCACAAGCACAAACGAGAAACCAUUCAUGGCCUCCACCGCCAUAUCCACCUUUUGUUUCUACCAGAAGUAUGCUGAAAUCAUUCACCAUCUUCUCUUUUUCUCCCAAAGAAAUCAACUAUCAUCUCUUUAGAUCUCUACGAAAUUAAUUGGUCAUCUGCUUUGCUCAACGUCGCCGCCAUCCUCUACGCACCUUAGAUGUCGACUGACCACCUGAUUUGGGAUCCCAAAAGCAACACCCACUAUGGAUGAUGAGAAGUGGAAGGCUAGACUCUCUAUAUUUUGUUUCUAAUCCGUCAAAUUGAAACAAAAGCGAAACGAUAAUGGAAUUCCCUCUAAGUUUUUUCAAAGGGUUUACUUCUUCUGAGGAGUUUGCGUUGAAGGAGAUGAUGAUGAUGAGAGGGGGUUGUGGUCGGACGACGUCGUCUUCUUCAUUAGUGUUGGAUAAUGAAAGGGGAGAGAUAGUGAGGGCUCUGGUUAGACCUGGCAGUAUUCAUCAUCAUCCUCAUCAUCAUAAUUCUCAUCUUCAUCAUCAUCAAAAGGGGGCAAAAGCAGAGAAAGCUUUAAUGGCUUUGAGGAAUCAUAGUGAGGUGGAGAGACGGCGGAGAGAGAGAGAAUCAACGACCAUCUCUCUAUGCUUCGUAGCCUCAUUCCAUGCACUACUAAGGCCAAUUUCGUUUCUGCUCUUAUAAUGUUCGAAUUUUUGUUGGUUCUUUUCAAUUAAUUUAUCAUGGUGUUUGAAUAUUUGAUUCGAUCACUAAUUUUUGGGCGAAUAUGUAUAUGGGUUUACUUUAAAUUUGUUCUAAGGGUGUUUUUCAUCAUUUUAAGCACUUCCCAUGGCCACAUUUUGACAUUUAAGAUCAAUCCUGUUGUUGUUAAAGGCUGAAUUUAGCAUGAAUUUCCCCCAGAUUAUACACUUAUAUAUUUCUAAUUCUCGCACUUGACAAAACAGUUCAAUGUGCUUCUCAAGAUUUUCGCAAAAAAUUGAACAUUUGGCUUCAAUUGUCAUCAAUAAAAGAAGAUUUGCGAGUGGGUGUUCCUUCCAUGUUCCUAUUCCUUUAGCAAAGUGCCUUCUCAGGAAUCGUUUGGUCCAUUUUGAUUCUUCCAUUGUGUCCUGUUAAUGUGCAUCAAUUGAGUGGACAAGCCCAACUACUUUGGCUGAUUUUUUUAAGGCUUGAUCCUUCUAAGAGAUUAUCAUCACAAACAACAUGUUUAAACAAAGGAUGGUAGAGUGAAAGCAAGAAAUAGUAUUUUUAAUGUAUGUGGCCUCACCAUUUUAGCUUUUAUCGUGCAUGUAGAAAAGGUGUCGUGAAGUUUCCUAAUUUGUGAUAGAGUUUAAUGUUGUUGCUCUUCAUAGAGGCGGAAUUCAAGGUGAAACCGAGGUUGACAACUACUCAAAAAUCAAUAUAUCUUUUAAUGACAACCACUCAAAAAUAGCUACACACUUAUUAUUAUUGUUUUGUUUCUUAUAGCAUCCUACUUUCGAGUGAUAUAGGCUAAAAAACAAUCUCUCUUUCAGUGACUAUCAAAUAAUGUCUGAUUACAAAUUGUUGAUUUGUUAUUUCAUAGCAUCUUACUUUUAUUGAUUUGUUUAUAUAACAUCAUACUUUGGUUUGAAACCUUGAAUGCUUAAUUAAAGAUUAUGGAAGUAAUCAAAAAGUUCAAAUGUUUAUCAUA